rnacentral:ncRNA from 2 species
ACCUUUGCUUCCGCAUUAGGUGAUAGUUUCCCGCAGACGGGAACUUUCUAAAAGGGAAUCCGGUGCGUCUUGAACCAACAAGGCAAGUCCGGAGCUGUACCCGCAGCUGUAAGCUCUUUUCAGUUAGCAGUUAACAGUUAACAUGAAUUUGUUGACAAGGAUUCGUUAGCGGUUGAAUUGAAAACAAGGUAUUGAACAACACUUUUGCCACUGAAUGACGGCAACAGUUAUUGGUCAACAGUCAGCAACGAAUUUGCUUGCUAACUGAUGACUGUUAACUGGUCACUGAUUUUCGGGAAGGCGUUCGAUACAGAGCAAGCCAGAAGACCUGCCGAUGCGCUUUUUAUUCA